AUGCAGGGCUCUCUGUGGGGCAGGCAGAUGCCCUGUGGAGGCCAGGCAUGGCCAUACCAGGAAGGCUCUGCUCUCCCAUGCCCUUUGACACUCAGCCUAUCUCUCUACCCUUCUCAGGGGAGGGACGGCGUGCCUGGACCCCCAGGGCCCCCAGGGCCCAAGGUGGACGUGGUGGAGGGCAGCCUGAUGGGCCUCCCAGGCGAGCGUGGCCCCACUGGACCCAAAGGAGCCAAGGGUGAGCCAGGAGCUGAGGGCGAGCGGGGACCCAAAGGAGAUAAGGGCGAAGGUGGCCUGAGGGGUGACCGAGGGGAGCCCGGUGAGAAGGGCAGGGAUGGCGCCCCGGGUCUCCCGGGCGAGAGAGGGCUGGCAGGCCCUGAGGGGAAGCCGGUGAGUGGGGACACGGUGGGGACAUGCAGGCUGGGACUGGGGGAGGUCCUGUGGUCUCACACCAGCCAUCACCAGAAUCGAUAUGGGCAUUUAUGCCUCAUUCACCUUCUUCUCCCCCCACAUCCCAUGCAGGACCUGCAGAGCUUUAGGGGGCUUCUCCCUAUUCCUACCCCUCCUAGGUGCCCUGGCUGGGUACCACACACUGGGAAUGGGGAGCAGGCAGGGCUGUGUGGAGGGGGUGGGUUUCCACUGUCCACUGACCCUGAUGUGGUUCUUUGCAGGGCUUGCCAGGCUUUCCUGGCAUGCUGGGACGGCCGGUAG
rnacentral:lncRNA from 1 species